rnacentral:misc_RNA from 1 species
UACGGAGGGUGCAAGCGUUAAUCGGAAUUACUGGGCGUAAAGCGCGCGUAGGCGGUUAUUUAAGUCAGAUGUGAAAGCCCCGGGCUCAACCUGGGAAUGGCAUUUGAGACUGGAUGGCUAGAGUGUGGUAGAGGUGAGUGGAAUUUCAGGUGUAGCGGUGAAAUGCGUAGAGAUCUGAAGGAACAUCAGUGGCGAAGGCGACUCACUGGGCCAUUACUGACGCUGAGGUGCGAAAGCGUGGGGAGCAAACAGG